rnacentral:rRNA from 1 species
CAGCCGCCGCGGGAAUACGGAGGGGGCUAGCGUUGUUCGGAAUUACUGGGCGUAAAGCGCACGUAGGCGGCUUUACAAGUCAGAGGUGAAAGCCUGGUGCUCAACACCAGAAUUGCCUUUGAGACUGUAUCGCUUGAACGUCGGAGAGGUGAGUGGAAUUCCGAGUGUAGAGGUGAAAUUCGUAGAUAUUCGGAAGAACACCAGUGGCGAAGGCGGCUCACUGGACGACUGUUGACGCUGAGGUGCGAAAGCGUGGGGAGCAAACAGGAUUAGAUACCCCUGUAGUCCCUGUCUCUUAUAC